UGUUUGGAGUAAGAGAAAUUUGAGCCGAGGUUUUAGAAAGUCUGAGGAGGAGUUAACUAGAUGAUAGAUGGAGGGAGUAUUAUUCCAGCCAGAGCAAACAGUUGAUGCAAAGGCCCUGUGACUAACAGAACAUGCCUCUAGAACCAUGAGAACAUAAAAUUCUAUUGCUUAAGCCACCCAGCCAAUGGUCCUUUGUCCAGGCAGCCCUAGCAAACCAGUACAUCUCCCUCAGCGGGAGCCCUGCAAGAAGAUCCACGGAGGAUGGAAAAAUGGAAAUGGGCUUGAAGGACAGCCCUAAGGAUGUCAGCUACUUCCCGACAUUAUUCUCGUCAUCUGAUUUCAGCGUUCCCUUUUUGCCUCUAGAGCCUCCAGAUAUCUUUUAGCCAAUGCUCAUUACAGGCAGACCUUGGAGAUCUUGC